rnacentral:rRNA from 1 species
GCUCUUUGCUGACGACCGGCGCACGGGUGCGUAACGCGUAUACAAUCUACCUAUCACUGAGGGAUAGCCCGAAGAAAUUUGGAUUAAUACCUCAUAGUAUUAUGAGAUCGCAUGAUUUUAUAAUUAAAGGUUACGGUGAUAGAUGAGUAUGCGUCCUAUUAGCUAGAUGGAGAGGUAAAGGCUCCCCAUGGCUACGAUAGGUAGGGGUCCUGAGAGGGAGAUCCCCCACACUGGUACUGAGACACGGACCAGACUCCUACGGGAGGCAGCAGUGAGGAAUAUUGGACAAUGGGCGCAAGCCUGAUCCAGCCAUGCCGCGUGUAGGAAGACGGCCCUAUGGGUUGUAAACUACUUUUAUACGGGAAGAAACCUAUCCUCGUGAGGAUAGCUGACGGUACCGUAAGAAUAAGCACCGGCUAACUCCGUGCCAGCAGCCGCGGUAAUACGGAGGGUGCAAGCGUUAUCCGGAAUCAUUGGGUUUAAAGGGUCCGUAGGCGGGCUAAUAAGUCAGUGGUGAAAUGCAGGGGCUCAACUCCGGCACUGCCAUUGAUACUGUUAGUCUUGAAUUAUUGUGAAGUGGUUAGAAUAUGUAGUGUAGCGGUGAAAUGCUUAGAUAUUACAUAGAAUACCGAUUGCGAAGGCAGAUCACUAACAAUAUAUUGACGCUGAUGGACGAAAGCGUGGGUAGCGAACAGGAUUAGAUACCCUGGUAGUCCACGCCGUAAACGAUGGUUACUAGCUGUUUGGACGAAUUGACGUCUGAGUGGCCAAGCGAAAGUGAU